GCGCCCGCGGUCCCCACGGAGACCGUCGCUGCUUCAGCGCCGCGCCGGGGCUGUGCCCCCCAACACCCCGCGCCCCGCGGCCGCUGCCCAGGGGUCCUUCCCGGGCACGGCGCGGGGAAGCAGAGGGCCCCCGGGCCAUCUCCGCGGCCUCCCGCCCCACUGGCUCGUCCUCCUACCGCGGCCCCAUCCGGAGCUGCGCUAGGGCGAGUCCCUGCUGCGCCCGCCAAGCCUCCCCAGCACUUGCUCCUGGCAGGUGCCCCACUCCAAGGCAGGGCCGGGAGAGUGGGGGCCGUUCUGCUGCCCUAAGGGCGGGAGGGAGAGGGUCCCAAACAGAGUGCUGGCCCCCCGAAGAAAGCAACCCAGGGUUUGUCCAAGCGAUAACGGGCUGGGCUUGGCGGGGCGGGGCCUCGCAGCGGGCAGGAGUGUGGGGUGCCCCUGGAGCGUCUGGGCAGGGCCGGGAUGUGGCCGGGUAGCUCCCAAGAGCUGGGAAUCGCCACCUGCCCUUCCGACUGGCACCCAGUGUGCCCACACAGCCCUGCAGGGACAAGGGGGGACCAGAGGCCUCUGCUGGGAGCUGGGGCCUCCUCCCUGGGGAGCACCCAGAGGAUGGAAGAAGUCACCUUUCCCCAGCGUCCAGUUCAGGGAGUGGGUGAGGGGGCCGUAGUGGUGGGUGCCAGACUAGCUACGUGGAGUCCUGCUGGGGAUGUACAUGGGCCGCUAGCCAGGCCCAGAACAGGUGCAGGGGCAGCAGGGGCUCAGCUACAGAGAGUUACCCUGUCCUUCUCCCAAGACUACCCUCGGCCAGCAUGACCCUGCCCUGCCCAUCCUGUGUGGGGCUGAGCGGAGAAGACCGGCCACUUCCACAGCCCCUCACGCCAUGGCCCUCCCGUGCCUCACACAGAGGCACCCCCCAUGGUGGGUGACUGGUGGCUGGGGCCCUCAGCAUGGUGGCAGUGACCAUCACGUCACACUGCAACACGAGGUCAUCCAGGGCCACACACCGUCCCCACCACGGCCCUCACAUCUGGGCCCUGUCCCAUCCCUACGCAGUUCCUGGGGCUGCCUGCCGGGGCCCCCGCAGGACGGGGGUGAGGACAAACAGCAGACCUCCUUGGAUGUGGAGGUACCCCACGGCGUCCCCCACCCCACACCUCUGCUCCUUUGGCUCCCUCGGGUGCCUUAGGUGGCCAGAACUCCACCAGCAACCCUCACCCAGGACCGCAGCUCUGGAGACGCCAGCUAGGCCGAGAGCUGGCCAGCUCCCCAAGCACACCAGAGCCUGGAGACGCUCCAGGCUUGGCUGGGCCCACAGAGGGGCCAGAGCCUCAGGGAGGGCUCCAGGAGCAGGGUUUCCAAGGAAGCCACUUUCCCUCUUGUCCACGGCCCAGGCAUUGAUGCCCCUCUGGGCAGCAGCCAGGGCCUCCCAAGCCGGGAAGGGUGGGCAUGGGGCUACCCAGCAUGGCUCUGCCAGGGGUGAGGGUGGCCACAGUCCCCUGCCCACAUCCCUGUGCCCACAGAAACAUAUGCUGUAUGGAAUCAAGGUUUAAGGCAUCUAGGCCUGUGCUGGUAACCUGUAACCUUAGCCCCAUCCCUGUGCCCACAGAAACAUGUGCUGUAUUGACUCAAGGUUUAGGGGAUUUAGGGCUGUGCAGGAUGUGCUUUGUUAACAAUGUGUUUGCAGGCAGUAUGCUUGGUAAAAGUCAUCGCCAUCCUCCAUUCUCCAUUAACCAGGGACACAGUGCACUGCGGAAAGCCGCAGGGACCUCUGCCCAAGAAAGCCUGGGUAUUGUCCAGGUUUCCCCCCAGUGAGACGGCCUGAGAUAUGGCCUCGUGGGAAGGGAAAGACCUGAUCGUCCCCCAGCCCGACACCCAUAAAGGGUCUGUGCUGAGGAGGAUUAGUGAAAGAGGGAGGCCUCUUUGCAGUUGAGAUAAGAGGAAGGCUUCUGUCUCCGACAUGCCCCUGGGAACGGAAUGUCUCCGUGUAAAACCCGAUCGUACAUUAGUUCUAUUCUGAGACAGGAGAAAACCGCCCUGUGGCUGGAGGCGAGAUAUGCUGGCGGCAAUGCUGCUCUGUUACUCUGCUACACUGAGAUGUUUGGGUGGAGAGAAGCAUGAAUCUGGCCUACGUGCACAUCCGGGCACAGCACCUUCCCUUCAAGCUAUUUGUGACACAGAUGCCUUUGCUCACAUUUUCUUGCUGACCUCUGCUCUGCUGCCGCAUUCCUCAUGCAAAGAUAGUGAAAAUGUCUCUCAUCCCACCUGACGAGAAACACCCACAGGUGUGGAGGGGCUGGCCACCCCUUCACUGGCACAGCAACCUGACAUGUGAAGGGGCCCAACUUCUGCAGGAGGACCCCAGGUCUGCAUCGCCAGGGCCCUCGUCAGCCUGUGCAGGGCACAGUAGGUCACCCAAGGGGCAAGUGAGCCUAGGCUGCCCAUGCCUGUGCAGACACCCCCGAUCUCUCUCUGCCCAUCCCCGGAGCAGCACAGACGGGCAGGUUGGCUGCAGAGCCACCAGCUGAGGGGGUGAGAGGUCCCUGGGCAGGGAAUCCUGGGAGCCUGGCCAGCAAGGGUGAGAGGCUGCUGAGCCCAAACCCUCCCCUCGAGGUCCAUCUGCCCUCUCCAGACCAUCUAGGCAGCUCCUCCACACCCCGAUUCCUGCUGGGACACCCAGUCCCACCCUCUAUGGCUCACAGACUGGGGGCCAUGCCCGGCCACACAUCACGUCUGUGCUGUCCCUCAGACUGAAAGGCUAUCGGCGGGCGGCUGGCCGUGACCUACUGCAUCCGCACUUGGGGCCGUGCUGGUCUGUGUGCUGAAUUAUACAUAAUAUAAAAUUGACCACUUAACCACU